GUUGUGGCGCUCUUUCAGAUUGGAAUUUUUCAUUGUGGCGCUCCCUCAAACCCUCGUAGACUCGCUUNAAGAUCUCUAUAUCUCUCAGACUCUUGCUUCUUCCUUCUUCAUAAUAAAGAAAUUGUUGUUGAUUCGUUGAAAACCCUUGUCGAGAGACGAGGUGAAAACCCUAACGCAGGUCCACAGCUCGCACCUUAACCGCUCACGGCUUCACAGCUCGCACCUUAACCGCUCACGGCUUCACAGCUCGUGCCUUCACCGCUUGCGCAUCCAUUGUCGAGCUCGGUUUUGGUUGAUCGACUUUUGAAAGCUUGCACCGUUGCCAUUGCGUAAUGAUCCGUCAUGGGAUUUGCACAAAGAUUCGCCAAAUAGAUUCCCUUGUUCUUGAAAAUGUAGUUGAUUUUGAUGAAUAGAGAUUCUGAAAUGUGAAAGACAGUGGUAGACUUAUUCUUGGGCCAAGCCAUGGAAGGGAGAGUGCAAAAGAAAAAGAGAGAGGUCAGAGAGUAGCUCCUCNCUGAUGCCGAGACCAAAACAUUCUUAGAGCUCCAGACGAGGUUCUAUCAGUAAACUCCUUUAAUCAAUAUGUAAAAGAAGCUGUCAAAAGUAUUCUUACUAGCAUUUCAGAAUCGAGUGUUUGGUGGUGGAUUGGAAUUCACACUGCAUGUGAUGGCCCAUGAUGAUGCACGGAUCAGUGGCAUACAAGCAACAAAUAUAUCAGACUUGGCAUUUGAAGCAAGAUUUUGCAUGGUGUUUGCCCUGUAAAAGGGAGAAAAUGCAGAAGUUACUAAGUAGAAGUCAGGAAGACAGGUUUCAUUUAAUUUNCUUGAAAAGUAUUUGGAAACACACUCAAACGCCUCUAUGUGGGGAAAUGAGCUCCUAGAUGUAGGCUACCAACCUUUAUGCAUCCAGAUUCCCUACACUGCAAGGGCUCUUAAUUUUGAACUAAGAACUCCAGCCUCACGUUUUGUUCCUUAGUUGGUAUAAGGCUUGUUUCUUGCAUAUUAUUUUCUCUGUUAGUUUUGUUAACAUGAAGAUAUUUGGUAUUAUUUUUUAUAAUUUGAUAGUUUAUUUGACUUUUAUCAAUAUAUGAAACUAUUAGUUAUUGGGUGUA